AGAGUGAACGCUGGCGGCAGGCCUAACACAUGCAAGUCGAACGGCAGCACAGAGGAGCUUGCUCCUUGGGUGGCGAGUGGCGGACGGGUGAGGAAUACGUCGGAAUCUGCCUAUUUGGUGGGGGAUAACGUAGGGAAACUUACGCUAAUACCGCAUACGACCUACGGGUGAAAGCGGAGGACCUUCGGGCUUCGCGCAGAUGGAUGAGCCGACGUCGGAUUAGCUAGUUGGCGGGUAAAGCCCACCAAGGCGACGAUCCGUAGCUGGUCUGAGAGGAUGAUCAGCCACACUGGAACUGAGACACGGUCCAGACCUCCGUACGGGAGCAGCAGUGGGAAUAGUGGGAACAGUGGGACGCAAGCCUAGACUCCGAGCCAUGCCGCGUGUGUAGAAGGAAGUCCGUU
rnacentral:rRNA from 1 species